rnacentral:SRP_RNA from 11 species
GCCGGACUUGGUUACGUGAGUCUAUGACCCAAGUGGGGGCAUUAAAGCGGGUUUAGAAGGGGUUUUGAGAAAGAACAAGCUAUCGACACUUUA